CCUCUCCCCCCUCCUGAGGGCAGCUCUCCCUGGGGCUCUCCCGGGGGCAUGUCCUGCUCCAGCCCUUCUCAGCUUCCUUCCUCCCCUGGGACCCUCCUGGCUCAGCCCCCAUUGUUCUCCCCUCAAGGCCCGGGAAAACAUCACGUAGACUAGUUUUGGGGGACCAGGACAUCUUGAGGCCUUCUCCCCAUACUCCCCCCAGACACGAUGGGGCGAGGGGUACCCUGGGGGGCUCUCCACAAUCCCCUUCUCCCGCCCACAGAGCAAGGAGCACGUCUGGGGACCUUCCUUGCCACUGGCCUGUUCUUCCUCGCCCUCUUGUUCCUGGGCCUUCGGAGACACCGAGGGUAGAGCCAGAGCCUUCCUCCCCACUUCUUGGAGCCACGGAAGCUGCCCGUGCCCAGGCCUGAAGAGCUUCCUCCACCUUAGAGUCAGCUUUGGCUCAGAGAGCUCCAGAGAUAGGGUCCCCGAUCCUCUCCCACAGGUGCUCCAUGCUGGCACGGUGCGCAGGCUCAGGAAGCACCCCUCACCCCGAGCCUAGGUUCGCCUUCCCUUCAGCUGUUCCUUGUCCAGCCUGCAGAAUGGUCCGACUGCCCCUCACUCCCGGAGCCCCUUCAGGGGCAGCUCUUCCGCCCCCUCCCCCUGACUCAGCUGCCAGCGUCGGGUGGGCAAGGCCCAGCCCUGGCCCCUUCUGGCUCUGGGGACCGCUGAGCACGUCUGGGUCCAGUGCCCUUCCCUCUCACAUUGGGUCUUUCGUCCUUACUGCAAACGGACCCUUUUCUGGGCAGACGUCUCAUCGUCCCCCCAGAUCUGGGAUUCUCUGAGCUCCACCUGAUCAUCUUGGGCUCCUUCCCUGGCUCCCCCUUAGCUCCUCAAUGGGGGCCCACCGUGCUCCGGGCCAGGCCGGGCAGCCACCUCCUCCUCCUGCCCUGACCCAAUGCAGCCUAAGGCAACAUGGCCGGUCCUUGGCCAUCAUUCCAUGCAGUUGACUCAUAUUGAGUUUCGAACCCCCUGAAAUCCUCAGGUAACUUUUCAGAGGAGUCGGCUUUCUCCUCUUGCCCUUGGGCCGGUUAUUGCUUGGACUCCUGUUGGGUUUCACUGAUUAGUUUGGAUUUGGAGCCCGGCUAGGACCUUAUUCUCCAGAAAGGGGACCUGAGGAAGGGGCCGAGGAGAGUCCCCCGCCGGCCAGAUUCUGAAAUUCAUCCUGAGGCCUUCGCCUAAGGUCCGAGAGACGAGUCGGUGGCGAGGAGAGGCUGGGGCAGCCACUGGACAGGGAGCAGAGCCUGGAAAAGUAGGGGGAGGAGGGGGGACGGAGGAAAUGCCCAGAGCCCUUUGCCCCCAAAACUCCAAUGUGUCUCAAUAAAAAUCGCCGUUCUUCUCUCA